rnacentral:rRNA from 1 species
UACGGAGGGGGCUAGCGUUGUUCGGAAUUACUGGGCGUAAAGCGUGCGCAGGCGGCUUCUCAAGUCAGGGGUGAAAGCCCAGAGCUCAACUCUGGAAUUGCCUUUGAGACUGAGUGGCUUGAGACCGGAAGAGGUAAGUGGAACUGCGAGUGUAGAGGUGAAAUUCGUAGAUAUUCGCAAGAACACCAGUGGCGAAGGCGGCUUACUGGUCCGGUUCUGACGCUGAGGCGCGAAAGCGUGGGGAGCAAACAGG